UUGGCUAACAUCCAGCUCGAUGACGGUACCCCUUAGCAAGCACCGGCUAACUCUGUGCCAGCAGCCGCGGUAAGACAGAGGGUGCAAAACGUUGUUCGGAAUUACUGGGCGUAAAGCGCGUGUAGGCCGCUUGGAAAGUCGGAUGUGAAAAGCCCCUGGGGCUCAAACCUAGGAAGUGCAUUCGAAACUUCCAAGCUGGAGUGCUGGAGAGGAAAAGCGGGAAAUUCUCGGUGUAGAGGUGAAAAUUCGUAGAUAUCGAGAGGAACACCGGUGGCGAAGGCGGCUUUCUGGACAGUCACUGACGCUGAGACGCGAAAGCGUGGGGAGCAAACAGGAUUAGAUACCCUGGUAGUCCACGCCGUAAACGAUGGGUGCUAGGUGUCGCGGGCUUUGACCCCUGCGGUGCCGUAGCUAACGCAUUAAGCACCCCGCCUGGGGAGUACGGCCGCAAGGCUAAAACUCAAAGGAAUUGACGGG
rnacentral:rRNA from 1 species